rnacentral:lncRNA from 1 species
AAAAAAUCCUACAGAUGCUCCAGAUCUGUGAGGCUUCUGAAUUAGCUGAAUCCCCAGCGAAUCUUCAUUAUUGACUAGAGGAAAUUACACGGUAUUCUCCUUCUUUGCAAGGCUAGAAAAUUUAUUGAAUUGCUACUGAAAGCUUGCAGAAGACUACAUCCAGUUUUGCUAACCAAA